rnacentral:rRNA from 1 species
UACGUAGGGUGCAGGCGUUAAUCGGAAUUACUGGGCGUAAAGCGUGCGCAGGCGGUUUCUUAAGUCAGAUGUGAAAGCCCCGGGCUUAACCUGGGAAUUGCGCUUGAUACUCUGAGACUGGAGUACGGGAGAGGAGAGUGGAAUUCCCAGUGUAGAGGUGAAAUUCGUAGAUAUUGGGAAGAACACCAGUGGCGAAGGCGGCUCUCUGGACCGUAACUGACGCUGAGGCGCGAAAGCGUGGGGAGCAAACAGG